AUGAACGCUGGCGGCGUGCCUAAUACAUGCAAGUCGAGCGAACAGACGAGGAGCUUGCUCCUCUGACGUUAGCGGCGGACGGGUGAGUAACACGUGGAUAACCUACCUAUAAGACUGGGAUAACUUCGGGAAACCGGAGCUAAUACCGGAUAAUAUAUUGAACCGCGUGGUUCAAUAGUGAAAGACGGUUUUGCUGUCACUUAUAGAUGGAUCCGCGCCGCAUUAGCUAGUUGGUAAGGUAACGGCUUACCAAGGCAACGAUGCGUAGCCGACCUGAGAGGGUGAUCGGCCACACUGGAACUGAGACACGGUCCAGACUCCUACGGGAGGCAGCAGUAGGGAAUCUUCCGCAAAGGGCGAAAGCUUGACGGAGCAACGCCGCGUGAGUGAUGAAGGUCUUCGGAUCGUAAAACUCUGUUAUUAGGGAAGAACAAAUGUGUAAGUAACUAUGCACGUCUUGACGGUACCUAAUCAGAAAGCCACGGCUAACUACGUG
rnacentral:rRNA from 1 species